rnacentral:rRNA from 1 species
UUUUUACGGGAGGCAGCAGUGUGGAAUAUUGGACAAUGGGGGCAACCCUAAUCCAGCCAUGCCGCGUGAGUAAUGAAGGCCCUAGGGUUGUAAAGCUCUUUUGUGCGGGAAGAUAAUGGCGGCACCGCAAGAAUAAGCCCCGGCUAACUUUGUGCCAGCAGCCGCGGUAAUACGAAGGGGGCUAGCGUUGCUCGGAAUCACUGGGCGUAAAGGGUGCGUAGGCGUUUUUUUAAGUCAUGGGUGAAAUCCUGGAGCUCAACUCCAGAACUGCUUUUGAUACUGAAGAUCUAGAGUGCGAGAGAGGUGAAUGAUACUGGGAGUGUAGAUGUAAAAUUUGUAGAUAUUAACAAACACCCCAGUGGAAAACACGGCUCUGGGGCCCCAUUCUCACUCUGAGGCGAAAAAGGUGAGACAAACAGUUUUAUAUCCCGGGUGCCGCGUCCUUGUUCACCUAGAUAAACCCCUAUCCUCGCUAAGCUUCCGCUAUAUUGACGCACAUUAAAA